rnacentral:rRNA from 1 species
UACGUAGGUGGCAAGCGUUGUCCGGAAUUAUUGGGCGUAAAGCGCGCGCAGGCGGUCCUUUAAGUCUGAUGUGAAAGCCCACGGCUCAACCGUGGAGGGUCAUUGGAAACUGGGGGACUUGAGUGCAGAAGAGGAAAGCGGAAUUCCACGUGUAGCGGUGAAAUGCGUAGAUAUCAGGAGGAAUACCGAUGGCGAAGGCAGGUCUCUGGGCUGACACUGACGCUCAUGCACGAAAGCGUGGGGAGCAAACAGG